rnacentral:rRNA from 1 species
AUUGAACGCUGGCGGCAUGCUUUACACAUGCAAGUCGAGCGGUAACAGGCCUUCGGGUGCUGACGAGUGGCGAACGGGUGAGUAAUGCAUCGGAACGUGCCCAGAGGUGGGGGAUAACGCAGCGAAAGCUGUGCUAAUACCGCAUGUGAUCUGAGGAUGAAAGCGGGGGACCAGGCAGCAAUGUUUGGCCUCGCGCCUUUGGAGCGGCCGAUGUCAGAUUAGGUAGUUGGUGGGGUAAGGGCCUACCAAGCCGACGAUCUGUAGCUGGUCUGAGAGGACGACCAGCCACACUGGGACUGAGACACGGCCCAGACUCCUACGGGAGGCAGCAGUGGGGAAUUUUGGACAAUGGGCGCAAGCCUGAUCCAGCAAUGCCGCGUGCGGGAAGAAGGCCUUCGGGUUGUAAACCGCUUUUGUACGGAACGAAAAGGCUCUGGCUAAUACCUGGGGCUGAUGACGGUACCGUAAGAAUAAGCACCGGCUAACUACGUG